GCUGAUUCGUCAGGAAAGGAGGAGGUGGCUGCAUAGCCGGGAACUGGGCGGGAACGCCGUAAGGUUGCACUCCACCCGUUGUGAACUGUUGGGGAACGCAUAGCUGCGCGGCCUGACCAACACCUGGCAUCAUAAAAUGGUAUUGGACAUGUUGUAGCGGGUGCUAGAGGACAAGAGAGCAUAGGUGGAAGAGGCGGUGUUGCUUGAACCAGAUUCUAGAAGAACAAAAAGAAGAAAACGGUUAUGACUAUCAGAUAUGAAUAUGAAGAGAUUAGGCAAGCGACUACAUAAUUUUA